CUAUGGUGCUUAAGCCCUGGGAACGCGUCACUUCCGUUCCUGGCCUGCCGCCUUGCCCUCUCUCGCUGCCCGGUCAAGGAGAAAGGGGGUCGCCGCCGCCGCCAUGUCUUUACAGGUGCUGAGAAGGGGGCUGCGGCUUCCGGGCUUGGCCGCCCGCCCUGCCCGGAGCAUCGCUUCCAACCCGCCCAAGGACCCCAUAGGGCCGCUGGAGACUGUCAUCGGCCUGACUACUUUCUUCCUGACAUUCAUGGUACCAUCUUGCUACAUCCUGGUAAACCUCGAAAACUACAAAAAGAGAGAAUAAGGAGGAAAGUCUGAACUCCUGACCCGAAGCUCUGAUGCGAUCUCUCUAUGAUUUCCUCCAUUUCAGAAGGGGGGGGGCUGGCAUGCCCUUCCUCUGUGAAGACCAGCGUCCUGAAAUAUAUUCCAUGCUGCUUCCUGGACCACAUAGGAUGUAGUUCUAGACAGCUGUUCUUCGGAGAUUGUCUGUUACAAUAAAUACUGUUACUGA